GACGAACGCUGGCGGCGUGCUUAACACAUGCAAGUCGAACGGAAAGGCCCUGCUUUUGUGGGGUGCUCGAGUGGCGAACGGGUGAGUAACACGUGAGUAACCUGCCCUUGACUUUGGGAUAACUUCAGGAAACUGGGGCUAAUACCGGAUAGGAGCUCCUGCUGCAUGGUGGGGGUUGGAAAGUUUCGGCGGUUGGGGAUGGACUCGCGGCUUAUCAGCUUGUUGGUGGGGUAGUGUCUUACCAAGGCUUUGACGGGUAGCCGGCCUGAGAGGGUGACCGGCCACAUUGGGACUGAGAUACGGCCCAGACUCCUACGGGAGGCAGAAGUGGGGAAUAUUGCACAAUGGGCGGAAGCCUGAUGCAGCAACGCCGCGUGCGGGAUGACGGCCUUCGGGUUGUAAACCGCUUUCGCCUGUGACGAAGCGUGAGUGACGGUAAUGGGUAAAGAAGCACCGGCUAACUACGUG
rnacentral:rRNA from 1 species